rnacentral:misc_RNA from 1 species
GAUGAAGAAACGUAGCGAAAUGCGAUAAGUAAUGUGAAUUGCAGAAUUCAGUGAAUCAUCGAAUCUUUGAACGCACAUUGCGCCCCCUGGUAUUCCGGGGGGCAUGCCUGUUCGAGCGUCAUUUCACCACUCAAGCCUCGCUUGGUAUUGGGCAACGCGGUCCGCCGCGUGCCUCAAAUCGACCGGCUGGGUCUUCUGUCCCCUAAGCGUUGUGGAAACUAUUCGCUAAAGGGUGUUCGGGAGGCUACGCCGUAAAACAACCCCAUUUCUAAGGUUGACCUCGGAUCAGGUAGGGAUACCCGCUGAACUUAAGCAUAUCAAUAAGCGGAGGA